rnacentral:rRNA from 1 species
AUACGUAGGGGGCGAGCGUUGUCCGGAAUGAUUGGGCGUAAAGGGCGCGUAGGCGGCCUGUUAAGUCUGGAGUGAAAGUCCUGUUUUCAAGAUGGGAAUUGCUUUGGAUACUGAUGGGCUUGAGUGCAGGAGAGGUUAUCGGAAUUCCCGGUGUAGCGGUGAAAUGCGUAGAGAUCGGGAGGAACACCAGUGGCGAAGGCGGGUAACUGGACUGCAACUGACGCUGAGGCGCGAAAGUGUGGGGAGCAAACAGGAUUAGAUACCCUGGUAGUCCACACUGUAAACGAUGAAUGCUAGGUGUAAGAGGUAUCGACCCCUUUUGUGCCGGAGUUAACACAAUAAGCAUUCCGCCUGGGGAGUACGGCCGCAAGGUUGAAACUCAAAUGAAUCGGCGGGG